rfam:Triticum aestivum genome assembly, contig: Triticum_aestivum_CS42_TGACv1_scaffold_456701_5DS
UAGGUACUCCCUCCGUCCCAAAAUAUUUGUUCUCAAAAUGGAUAAAUUGGAUCUAUCUAUAACUAAAAUAAGUCUAGAUACAUCCAUUUCUAGGACAAGUAUUUCCGGACGGAGGGAGUAUUAA